rnacentral:rRNA from 1 species
AAUCAACGCUGGCGGCGUGCCUCAGACAUGCAAGUCGAACGAUUAAGACUUCCUUCGGGAAGUGUAUAAAGUGGCGCACGGGUGAGUAACACGUAGGUAAUGUGCCUUUGGGUGGGGAAUAACUUAGGGAAACUUAAGCUAAUACCGCAUAAUGCAGCGGCUCGACAUCGAGACAGUUGUUAAAGGAGUAAUCCGCCUAAAGAGCAGCCUGCGGCAGAUUAGCUAGUUGGUAAGGUAAUGGCUUACCAAGGCUACGAUCUGUAACCGUACUGAGAGGGUGGUCGGUCACACUGACACUGAAUAACGGGUCAGACUCCUACGGGAGGCAGCAGUCGGGAAUUUUGGGCAAUGGGCGAAAGCCUGACCCAGCAACGCCGCGUGAAGGAUGAAGUAUUUCGGUAUGUAAACUUCGUAAGAAUAGGAAGAAUAAAUGACGGUACUAUUUGUAAGGUCCGGCUAACUACGUGCCAGCAGCCGCCGUAACAC